ACCUAUUGUGCAACCACUGAUCAGUUGGAUUUACCGAGCUCCACGUGGCCGGGUAUGAUUCUACCGAGCCUUAUGAUGGCCGGAUACAUUUUUACCGAGCCCUCUUUGAGGCUAGGUACGAUAUGAUGAUGAUGCCCAUAGAGGCGUAUGUUUUGAAAAGUUUAUGUAUAUAUAUGUAUUAUGCAUUUCAUGGCAGUAGCCCCCAGAGGCACUCAGAUGUUACAGGUUGUAUUUCCUCUAUCUCUCUUUACAUUAUAGUUCUUAUUUAUGCUUUCCUGUCUUACAUACUC
rnacentral:lncRNA from 1 species